GGAUCGGGAGGCCUCUGGUGGGACAGGGGCCGCGAAUUGAUCAGAACAGUCCUGUUUCAAAGAGGUGCGCUGUCGUGGCCCGACGACCUGCGUG
rfam:Rhodobacteraceae bacterium EhC02 A5_Contig20, whole genome shotgun sequence.